UACAGAGGGGGCAAGCGUUGUUCGGAAUUACUGGGCGUAAAGGGCGCGUAGGCGGCCUGCUAAGUCGAACGUGAAAUCCCUGGGCUCAACCCAGGAACUGCGUCCGAUACUGGUUGGCUUGAAUCCGGGAGAGGGACGUGGAAUUCCAGGUGUAGCGGUGAAAUGCGUAGAUAUCGGGAAGAACACCCGUGGCGAAGGCGGUUCUCUGGGACGGUACUGACGCUGAGACGCGAAAGCGUGGGGAGCGAACAGG
rnacentral:rRNA from 1 species